rnacentral:rRNA from 1 species
CCUACGGGAGGCAGCAGUGAGGAAUUUUGCGCAAUGGGGGAAACCCUGACGCAGCAACGCCGCGUGNGUGAAGAAGGCUUUCGGGUCGUAAAGCCCUGUCAGGUGGGAAGAAAUCUUCCGGUACUAAUAAUGCCAGAAGCUGACGGUACCACCAGAGGAAGCACCGGCCAACUCCGUGCCAGCAGCCGCGGU